rnacentral:rRNA from 1 species
AUUGAACGCUGGCGGUAGGCCUAACACAUGCAAGUCGAACGGCAGCACAGUAAUAGCUUGCUCUUACGGGUGGCGAGUGGCGGACGGGUGAUGAAUACAUCCGAAUCUACUUUUUCUUGCGGGAUAACGUAGUGAAACUUACGCUAAUACCGCAUACGACCUACGGGUGAAAGCAGGGGAUCUUCGGACCUUGCGCGAUUGAAUGAGCCGAUGUCGGAUUAGCUAGUUGGCGGGGUAAAGGCCCACCAAGGCGACGAUCCGUAGCUGGUAUGAGAGGAUGAUCAGCCACACUGGAACUGAGACACGGUCCAGACUCCUACGGGAGGCAGCAGUGGGGAAUACUGGACAAUGGGGGCAAGCCUGAUCCAGCCAUACCGCGUGGGUGAAGAAGGCCUUCGGGUUGUAAAGCCCUUUUGUUGGGAAAGAAAAGCAGCAGGUUAAUACCCCGCUGUUCUGACGGUACCCAAAGAAUAAGCACCGGCUAACUUCGUG